CCAUGCACCACCUGUCACUGCGCUCCCGAAGGCACUCCCUCGUUUCCAAGGGAUUCGCAGGAUGUCAAACCCU
rnacentral:tRNA from 1 species